GGUUAAGCGACUAAGCGUACACGGUGGAUGCCCUGGCAGUCAGAGGCGAUGAAGGACGUGCUAAUCUGCGAUAAGCGUCGGUGAGGUGAUAUGAACCGUUAUAACCGGCGAUUUCCGAAUGGGGAAACCCAGUGUGUUUCGACACACUAUCAUUAACUGAAUCCAUAGGUUAAUGAGGCGAACCGGGGGAACUGAAACAUCUAAGUACCCCGAGGAAAAGAAAUCAACCGAGAUUCCCCCAGUAGCGGCGAGCGAACGGGGAGGAGCCCAGAGCCUGAAUCAGUGUGUGUGUUAGUGGAAGCGUCUGGAAAGGCGUGCGAUACAGGGUGACAGCCCCGUACACAAAAAUGCACAUGCUGUGAGCUCGAUGAGUAGGGCGGGACACGUGGUAUCCUGUCUGAAUAUGGGGGGACCAUCCUCCAAGGCUAAAUACUCCUGACUGACCGAUAGUGAACCAGUACCGUGAGGGAAAGGCGAAAAGAACCCCGGCGAGGGGAGUGAAAAAGAACCUGAAACCGUGUACGUACAAGCAGUGGGAGCCUCUUAAUGGGGUGACUGCGUACCUUUUGUAUAAUGGGUCAGCGACUUAUAUUCUGUAGCAAGGUUAACCGAAUAGGGGAGCCGAAGGGAAACCGAGUCUUAACUGGGCGUUAAGUUGCAGGGUAUAGACCCGAAACCCGGUGAUCUAGCCAUGGGCAGGUUGAAGGUUGGGUAACACUAACUGGAGGACCGAACCGACUAAUGUUGAAAAAUUAGCGGAUGACUUGUGGCUGGGGGUGAAAGGCCAAUCAAACCGGGAGAUAGCUGGUUCUCCCCGAAAGCUAUUUAGGUAGCGCCUCGUGAAUUCAUCUCCGGGGGUAGAGCACUGUUUCGGCAAGGGGGUCAUCCCGACUUACCAACCCGAUGCAAACUGCGAAUACCGGAGAAUGUUAUCACGGGAGACACACGGCGGGUGCUAACGUCCGUCGUGAAGAGGGAAACAACCCAGACCGCCAGCUAAGGUCCCAAAGUCAUGGUUAAGUGGGAAACGAUGUGGGAAGGCCCAGACAGCCAGGAUGUUGGCUUAGAAGCAGCCAUCAUUUAAAGAAAGCGUAAUAGCUCACUGGUCGAGUCGGCCUGCGCGGAAGAUGUAACGGGGCUAAACCAUGCACCGAAGCUGCGGCAGCGACACUAUGUGUUGUUGGGUAGGGGAGCGUUCUGUAAGCCUGUGAAGGUGUGCUGUGAGGCAUGCUGGAGGUAUCAGAAGUGCGAAUGCUGACAUAAGUAACGAUAAAGCGGGUGAAAAGCCCGCUCGCCGGAAGACCAAGGGUUCCUGUCCAACGUUAAUCGGGGCAGGGUGAGUCGACCCCUAAGGCGAGGCCGAAAGGCGUAGUCGAUGGGAAACAGGUUAAUAUUCCUGUACUUGGUGUUACUGCGAAGGGGGGACGGAGAAGGCUAUGUUGGCCGGGCGACGGUUGUCCCGGUUUAAGCGUGUAGGCUGGUUUUCCAGGCAAAUCCGGAAAACCAAGGCUGAGGCGUGAUGACGAGGCACUACGGUGCUGAAGCGACAAAUGCCCUGCUUCCAGGAAAAGCCUCUAAGCAUCAGGUAACAUCAAAUCGUACCCCAAACCGACACAGGUGGUCAGGUAGAGAAUACCAAGGCGCUUGAGAGAACUCGGGUGAAGGAACUAGGCAAAAUGGUGCCGUAACUUCGGGAGAAGGCACGCUGAUAUGUAGGUGAAGCGACUUGCUCGUGGAGCUGAAAUCAGUCGAAGAUACCAGCUGGCUGCAACUGUUUAUUAAAAACACAGCACUGUGCAAACACGAAAGUGGACGUAUACGGUGUGACGCCUGCCCGGUGCCGGAAGGUUAAUUGAUGGGGUCAGCGCAAGCGAAGCUCUUGAUCGAAGCCCCGGUAAACGGCGGCCGUAACUAUAACGGUCCUAAGGUAGCGAAAUUCCUUGUCGGGUAAGUUCCGACCUGCACGAAUGGCGUAAUGAUGGCCAGGCUGUCUCCACCCGAGACUCAGUGAAAUUGAACUCGCUGUGAAGAUGCAGUGUACCCGCGGCAAGACGGAAAGACCCCGUGAACCUUUACUAUAGCUUGACACUGAACAUUGAGCCUUGAUGUGUAGGAUAGGUGGGAGGCUUUGAAGUGUGGACGCCAGUCUGCAUGGAGCCGGCCUUGAAAUACCACCCUUUAAUGUUUGAUGUUCUAACGUUGGCCCCUGAUCGGGGUUGCGGACAGUGUCUGGUGGGUAGUUUGACUGGGGCGGUCUCCUCCUAAAGAGUAACGGAGGAGCACGAAGGUUGGCUAAUCCUGGUCGGACAUCAGGAGGUUAGUGCAAUGGCAUAAGCCAGCUUGACUGCGAGCGUGACGGCGCGAGCAGGUGCGAAAGCAGGUCAUAGUGAUCCGGUGGUUCUGAAUGGAAGGGCCAUCGCUCAACGGAUAAAAGGUACUCCGGGGAUAACAGGCUGAUACCGCCCAAGAGUUCAUAUCGACGGCGGUGUUUGGCACCUCGAUGUCGGCUCAUCACAUCCUGGGGCUGAAGUAGGUCCCAAGGGUAUGGCUGUUCGCCAUUUAAAGUGGUACGCGAGCUGGGUUUAGAACGUCGUGAGACAGUUCGGUCCCUAUCUGCCGUGGGCGCUGGAGAACUGAGGGGGGCUGCUCCUAGUACGAGAGGACCGGAGUGGACGCAUCACUGGUGUUCGGGUUGUCAUGCCAAUGGCACUGCCCGGUAGCUAAAUGCGGAAGAGAUAAGUGCUGAAAGCAUCUAAGCACGAAACUUGCCCCGAGAUGAGUUCUCCCUGACUCCUUGAGAGUCCUGAAGGAACGUUGAAGACGACGACGUUGAUAGGCCGGGUGUGUAAGCGCAGCGAUGCGUUGAGCUAACCGGUACUAAUGAACCGUGAGGCUUAACCUU
rnacentral:rRNA from 1 species